CAGCCAAGUCGUGAGGCGGAGCUAAUCCCUUAAAGCCAUUCUCAGUUCGGAUUGUAGGCUGAAACUCGCCUACAUGAAGCUGGAGUUACUAGUAAUCGCAGAUCAGAAUGCUGCGGUGAAUGCGUUCCCGGGUCUUGUACACACCGCCCGUCACACCACGGAAGUUGGGGGCGCCCGAAGCCACUUAGCUAACCCUUUUGGGAAGCGAGUGUCGAAGGUGAAAUCAAUAACUGGGGUGAAGUCGUAACAAGGUACC
rnacentral:rRNA from 1 species